rnacentral:misc_RNA from 1 species
UACGGAGGGGGCAAGCGUUGUUCGGAAUCACUGGGCGUAAAGGGUGCGUAGGCGGCCAGUUAAGUCUGGUGUGAAAUCCCCGGGCUCACCCCGGGAAUGGCAUUGGAAACUGGCUGGCUGGAGUGCCGGAGAGGGAAGCGGAAUUCCUGGUGUAGCGGUGAAAUGCGUAGAUACCAGGAGGAACACCGGUGGCGAAGGCGGCUUCCUGGACGUGCACUGACGCUGAUGCACGAAAGCGUGGGGAGCAAACAGG